rnacentral:rRNA from 1 species
UACGGAGGGUGCAAGCGUUAAUCGGAAUUACUGGGCGUAAAGCGCACGCAGGUGGCUGAGUCAGUCGAUUGUGAAAGCCCUGGGCUUAACCUGGGAAUUGCAGUCGAUACUACUCAGCUAGAGUAUGGGAGAGGGCAGUGGAAUUCCCGGUGUAGCGGUGAAAUGCGUAGAUAUCUGGAAGAACACCAAAGGCGAAGGCAGCAUCCUGGGAAGCGCCUGACGCUCAUGUGCGAAAGCUAGGGGAGCGAACGGG